ensembl:lncRNA
CAAGUCUUCAGCCAGUGCCUGGAACGUGGCUCAGUUUUUAUUCAUUUAGCAAUCAUUCGUGAAGCGCCUCUACGUCUUAGCGCAGAGGGUGCCCCUACCCUCAGGGAAUUCUUGAUCCAGGGCUCAGCCGGCAACAGAGGCAUGGCAUUCUCCAAGGAGACAUAGCCUCUGUGAUGGAUGCGCUUUACAUCAGUGGCAUCCUUGUGGUUUUCAGAACAUGGGACUGCAGAUCUGGUCAGCCAAGGACCUCCUGGGAAACCGGGGGAUGAUCGUGGCUGCCACACAGGAAAGUUGCCCAAGCUCACACAGGACUAUUCUAGUAAAACACCACGGCCGCUGCCACCCCCUGCUCGACGCCUAUGACACCAGGCUCUCAAAAUCCCAUUUCAGCUGUUGAGGAGUCAGUUGUUUCUGCAGUCAGACUUCUGGAAGAUACCAUGUGCUGUUGGGUGGCCAGAAAGUCUCAUUGUUCACUUCAAUUUCCAAGUCGGUGUGUCAGCCUGGCAGACGCUCGGUGAUUAUAAAAGGGCAGAACCUUGCUCUGCAGCAGCGAUAGCUCAUCCAAAACCAUCCCUGGACUGUGGCGUGGUGGGUCCAUCUGAACUGGCAGAUCUCACUGGAGCGGGUGCCAGGCCUGGGACCGCGGUGUCUCCC